UCAGCAUGGAAGCUGUAAAAAACAAUUCCAUUGUAAACGGAGAAAAUUUCCCUUUGUUGCUAAGAUACCACUCUUGGUCAUUCCAGAAAAACCCAGGAGCUGCCAACCAACCCCAAACACCCCCUGCCAUCCAGGGCCACCGGGGGUGGCACCAGGGGACGGUGCCAGGGCAGAGCUUCACCUGCCAGGGCACUUCACAGCAUCGGGCAGGGAGGAGCAGCAGGUGCCAGAUCCGACCAGAUCCUGAUUUACUGGGGAGCAGCUGCUCCUCGCUCUGACAUGGGGGGAUGAAUAUUUACCAAACAUUCCUGCCCAGCUGAUCAGGCAGCAAAUUGGGAAGGGGGUUUACAAGAUCUUCAUCUGGGCUCCACCCCAGCUGGCCUGAGGGGUGGGGAGGUGGCCAGAGGGGCUCUGCACCUCACCUGGUUCGUGUCACCGCGAGAAGGGACAACCCCAGACCCCACUGCAGCAGGAGAAUUUACAAGCCCUGGCUCAUCAGCACGAUGCUUGAGGAGCAAACAGCGUUAAUGCAGAGCCUCGGAGCCCAGCCUUUACACCUGCUAAAAUUAAUCGUUUCCACAGCCAGACUCCGCAAAUCAUUUUUCUGUGCCAGGGCAUAAAUCAGCUGUCACAACUGCUCACAGUGCUGCACACAAGAUAAUUGCUCCUUCUCCUUAUUAAAAAUGGCCAGGAAGUGCUGGGAACUGGCUUUCAGCUCCAGACAGCAGCGCUGAGCACCCCAUUCAUCAGAGUCCCUGAGGAUUGAGAGCCUCGAGGAGCCCGAGACUUGAGGGAGCACGAUUCCUCUGCCAGACAUUUGUCUCGUAUCAAAGCAACAAACAGCUGAAUAAAUCUCUGCCAUCAGACAGAUGGUUCACUGCUCUGCAGAGCUGUGGCCCACCUCGAGACAAUGACUGUAAUUGCAGAUGGAUAAAAGGACUAAAUGAUUAGAUCUAACUCUUUAUGAUAAA